CGAACCCGGAAGUUAAGCUUCCCCGCGCCGAUGGUACUGCACUCGGGAGGGUGUGGGAGAGUAGGUCACCGCCGGAC
rnacentral:rRNA from 1 species